GCAACUUGCCCCUGCUUAUUUCAUCAGGAUUAUUCAACUUUAUUCUUUUACUAAAAAAGUUUUCAUCAGAUCUCACUGCGUUUCAUCAUUUACUGAACCUUUCAGUCAUAAAUAGGGAACAGAGGUUCACCCAAUAACAAUGGUUAUUAUAUCCCUGAAGGUUACAAGAGGCAUGCUCACACAGGCAACACGCCCCUGCUUUUUUCAUGAGGAUUAUUCAACUUCAUUCUUUUACUAAAAGUUUUCAUCAGAUUUCACUGUGUUCCAUCAUUUACUGAACCUUUCAGUCACAAAUAGGGAACAGAGGUUCACCCAAUAACAAUGGUUAUUAUAUCCCUGAAGGUUACGAGAGGCAUGCUCACACAGGCAACACACCCCUGCUUUUUUCAUCAGGAUUAUUCAACUUCGUUCUUUUAUUAAAAAAGUUUUCAUCAGAUUUCACUAUGUGUUCCAUCAUUUACUGAACCUUUCAGUCAUAAAUAGUGAACAGAGGUUCACCCAAUAACAAUGGUUAUUAUAUCCCUGAAGGUUACGAGAGGCAUGCUUACACAGGCAACACGCCCCUGCUUUUUUCAUCAGGUUUAUUCAACUUCAUUCUUUUGUUAAGAUAAGUUUUCAUCAGUUUUUUAAACCAUGUGUUCCAUCAUUUACUGAACCUUUCAGUCACAAACAGAGAUCAGAGGUUCACCCAAUAACAAUGGUUAUCAUGUCCCUGAAGGUUACGAGAGGCCUGCUCACACAGGCAACAUGCCCCUGCUUUUUUCAUCAGGUUUAUUCCACUUCAUUUUUUACUUAGAAAAAGUUUUCCCACUCAAUCCAAAUUAAGUUAAACUAGAGCAAAAGGGACAACCUCAAGUAAAAUUAAUGCAGUUACGGGGAAGGGGAUGACAAGGUUCAUUUGGAUUAGCUUCAAAAAAACCAUUCAGUUUCUAGAUCUUUUUUCACAAGCCACCACUCUGUUUAGAUUAUUUGAAAAGCUCUAUAAACCAGAUUUUGUGAUUUAUCAAAACAAGUUAUCUAGGGCCAAGGUCAAACAGGAUAAAAAGGCCCCUGCAUUUUUCAUCAGGAUCUGCUAAGUAUAAAUCCAUGUAACCAUUGAUCAAUCAAACCAUACUCGAUC
rnacentral:lncRNA from 1 species